CUUACCAUUCCGAACAGAGAAGUUAAGCCCGUUAGCGCCAAUGGUACUACAAUCGUGGGAGAGUAGGUCGCCGCCUUCC
rnacentral:rRNA from 1 species